GAUGAACGCUGGCGGCGUGCCUAAUACAUGCAAGUCGAGCGAACGGACGAGAAGCUUGCUUUUCUGAUGUUAGCGGCGGACGGGUGAGUAACACGUGGAUAACCUACCUAUAAGACUGGGAUAACUUCGGGAAACCGGAGCUAAUACCGGAUAAUAUUUUGAACCGCAUGGUUCAAAAGUGAAAGACGGUCUUGCUGUCACUUAUAGAUGGAUCCGCGCUGCAUUAGCUAGUUGGUAAGGUAACGGCUUACCAAGGCAACGAUGCAUAGCCGACCUGAGAGGGUAUUCGCCCACCCGGGAAUGGAGACACGGCCCAACCCCCAAGGGGGGGCGGCGUGAGGAAUUCUGCCGAAUGGGCGGAAGCCCUGCCGAGCCACCGCGGCGGGGGGAAGAAGGGCUUCGGGUUCGAAAACUCUGUUAUUAGGGAAGAACAUAUGUGUAAGUAACUGUGCACAUCUUGACGGUACCUAAUCAGAAAGCCACGGCUAACUACGUG
rnacentral:rRNA from 1 species